CCUACGGGAGGCAGCAGUGGGGAAUAUUGGACAAUGGGCGCAAGCCUGAUCCAGCCAUGCCGCGUGUGUGAAGAAGGCUCUAGGGUUGUAAAGCACUUUCAGUAGGGAGGAAGGCCAGAGGCUUAAUAAGUCUUUGGAUUGACGUUACCUC
rnacentral:rRNA from 1 species